rnacentral:lncRNA from 1 species
AUCACUUGCUCUGCUAUGCCCAUAAGUGAAACCCUCACUUAUGAGGGCUUUGCUCGGGUGGCCAAAUCUUGUCAAAGCCCUCUUCAAGACUUGGCCACUGGCAUUGCUCGUUGCUUGGCUUGCCAUUGGGACGAGCCUCGAAUUCUUGGCCCAUAGUAGUCUGUGCUUUUAAGAAAGCAGUGCAAAUUUCUCAUACUUGGUUGCUCUGUGUGCCCCCUUUUCGUCGAGUGCCCCACCCGGUUCAUUAGGCUGUUGACCUACCAAGCACUUGCCCUCAACUCCUGCCAGCCGCUUUGCGGGUGGAGCAGCAUUUUUACGACUACAAACCUAACAGGUAUGUAGUUAUGGCACUGGACUUAGUAGGUCUAUACAAGUGCAGCUAGAAGCACCAAAAUGCUACAACGGUGCACUGUUAUGGACCUAACAAAUCCCUAGCAGUUUUUGAGAGCACCAAAAUGCUAUAGGAGGUUCGAUGCUAUGGAAAACGUUGUGGAUAUGUUGGAUAUAUAGUGCGUGAAAGUGCUACAGACCCAACAAAUCCAUAACGAGUUGAAGUAUAAAAUAAGAGAAGAUAAAAUAAAAGGAAAAAGUUUAUAUAAGGGUGAGGCCCUUAACUAUCAAAUUAAGGCACAACUCAAAAAUUCACUAGCAGAGCUUGUUUUGAAGUUGAAAAGCUUUCAAUUUGAUUAUCUCGGCCUCAAGAUGUAUCGAUAUGAAAAAAAACAUAAUUCAAUUAUUGAAAAUAGUGUCUCAUGUAAUGUGUUGUCUAGACCAUCAAUUUUUAAGAUUAUCAAAUGUUCAUAGAUCUUCUCGAUCUAUACUAUUUUGAAUAUGUAAAUUUUAUAAUUAGAUAGGAAAAUAAUUUUUUUAGGCGAUCAUAAAAAUUUCUGAUACUAAAACAACAUAUUUUGAUACUAUUUAAAGGGAUGCCUUACUUCGAUUGUUUAGGGUCUCGGCCUUAUACAAACCACACCAAAAAAAAACAAAAGGUAUAUGUGUAAUAUAUAAAAAAUUUAGGUUUUUAAAAUUUUCAAAAGCAAAUGUUAGUGAUAAUUUUCCUUGAAAUAUUUUAAAAAAUAGCUGUCUAGGGAAAAUGAGGUGGUGUGGAUGUGGAUUAGGAAAGUGACCACUCUAGAGGCCCACAUUUGAGUAACCAUCUGGCACCAACAUGCUUGGUCUGUUUCACAGUAUGUAAUAGCCCUAUCAGUCACUAGGGCUUCAGCACAUUUUUUGUGACACUGGUCUCCUUGAGUCCUUUCUAUAUAUUUUUUGUAUUUUGUGAUUCAUAGAGAUAAAAAUCCAAGAUUUAUGCUUUGUUUGAGUGGCCGGUCCAAGGAAGAGAUGGCACGUAUGGGUAGGAGGAUCAUGACCGUCCAUUUAGUGAUUUAUCCACUUUAUGAGAACAAUGCGAUUUGAUUGAUUCCACGUGUGCCUAUGGGAAUCCAAAGACCCCAAGAAAAGAAGUAGAAAAGGGAAAAGCAAUUCCUGGGAAAUGGAAAAGAUAGCAUUAUUUUUACUUUGAAUGGUAAUUUCAACUUAAUGAAAAGAAUAGGAGUUUUUUUUGGGGGGUAAAGAAGUAGGAGGAACUGGCAAAACAAAGUAAAAUGGCCGAGAAUCUAUUUCUAUAUUUCAAUCACCCUAUAUGUAUACAUAUGGAAAGAGGAAAACAUAAAUUUUCUAGAUGGUCGUAAAAUGACGAGACAAACUUAUUUGAAAAUUUAAGGGAAAUCUACCAUGAAGUAUCAAGCACUCAAGAGAGGAGUAAUUUAACAAUUUAUCCACUUUUAAAUUUGUUUAAAAAAUUCUAUAGAAGGACAUCAAUAUGAAUUAUAACACUUCAAGAUUUUAGGAGUAUUUUGAUAAAUUGUAAAAUGUUUAAUUUUUUAUACAUCAGAAGUAUGUUUUAUAAAGGAUGGAGUUUCUAUAAGGCCUAGGCCAAAUGAAGAAAAGUAAAGCGUCACCUCCAAAAUCUUAUCUAAAAAACACUUCGGGCAUGACAAACUCUCAAGAUGGUUCUAAAAUAUAUUUCCACCACCGAUUAAAGUCAUACAUCAAAAAUGGUAUGGAUCAUGUGGAUCUGUGAACACUUGAAAAUGGACGGGCUACAUAAUGCACUACCAUGUACACUAUUUUUAGGGUUUGAGGUCCUAAUUUUUCUUCAUAAUCAUAAUGAUCAUAGUCAAGAUGAUUGAUUGGAAGGUUUUCCAAAGCCAGAACUAUAAUCUUGGGUGAGAUUUGAGGUGAGCCUUUAUUUUAUUUUAUUUUAAGCCUUGACCUUAUUUUAACAUUUUCCUUUGAUAAAACCAUCAAGUAUAAUAAGCUUUUCUAACCUUUGACUGGCCUCAAAAUCGAUGGCCUUAGUUAAUUUUAUUUAAAAUUUAUUAUCUAUUUUUUAUAGUAAUUUUUUUAGUUGCAAAUAUUGUUCUUGUGGUUGAACAUGCAUGUUACUGUCUGAAUUCUAAUAUUUUUCUAUAAAUCAGAUUAAAAUAAAAUUUUGGAUAUGUGUCAUACAUAGUGGGUCACAUAAAAAAAUACAUAUACGUAACACCUGGAAAAUAAUGAGGG